GCAAGUCGAACGAAGUCUUCGGACUUAGUGGCGGACGGGUGAGUAACACGUGGGAACAUGCCCUUGGGUACGGAACAACAUUUGGAAACGAAUGCUAAUACCGUAUGAUGUCUUCGGACCAAAGAUUUAUCGCCCAAGGAUUGGCCCGCGUAAGAUUAGAUAGUUGGUGGGGUAACGGCCUACCAAGUCUACGAUCUUUAGCUGGUCUUAGAGGAUGAUC
rnacentral:rRNA from 1 species